rnacentral:rRNA from 1 species
AGCGAACGCUAGCGGCGGGCCUAACACAUGCAAGUCGAGCGGGGAGCUUCGGCUCUUUAGCGGCGAACGGGUGAGUAACACGUAGGUUAUGUAUCCUCUGGUGGGGAAUAACCGUGGGAAACCAUGGCUAAUACCGCAUAUCGUCUCUCGAGAUGAAAGCCUUCGGGCGCCAGUUGAGCAGCCUGCGUCCCAUUAUUUAGUCCUAGUUGGUGGGGUAAUGGCCUACCAAGGGUACGAUGGGUAGCUGGUCUGAGAGGAUGAUCAGCCACACUGGAACUGAGACACGGUCCAGACUCCUACGGGAGGCAG